rnacentral:lncRNA from 1 species
GUGUCCACUGAGGCCUGGUCUUUGCCUAAUCUCCUGCCAGAAUUGCCUGAUAGCCUUACUCUGCAGCUACAGCUGGAGGGCUUUGAUGACCUAGCAUCUUCUGCUCCCUCCCAGGAGUUGUCCCCACUUCUAGAAUCCUCUGGACAAAUUGGACUUUCUCAGGUCCAGCUGGAGGCCCAACUUGAAAUUCAAAGCCUGCAAAGGUCCAGUCCUCUUUACCUCAGCAAGAAGUCAAAGAUCAACUCUCACAGCCCCCCCGAGGAAGCUGAACCUUCUAUAACCCAGCAGGAUGCCCACACUCAGUAUGAACUUGGUACUGAGGAGAAUAUAGGUCAGCUGUCGAUGCAUCAGGAGGCAAAUGCAUCAUCUGGAAGUAGGAGUGAAGCUCAUCAUUCAAAUAUGGCAUUCAUCACAGUGAGACCUGUGGACAGGAAGGUUGCCAAAUCUACAGAGGCAGGGAAAAAGCCACAACCUACUUCAAGCCAACUGUAGACCCUGACCCAACCCCCAGAGAGUCCUGAGGAGGAGGACCCUUCCUAAACCCAACAAGAAGUCCUGGCUCAGACUCCAGAGCUCUGUGAAGAAAUGGAAAUUUCCUCAACUCACCAAGAGGCCCCAGCUCACCCUCUAAGCUCUCUUGUGGAGGCUGAACUUUCUGCCACUAAGACAAAGCCAGCUCAACCUUCUGAGUCUUCUAGGACAGAAGAACCUUCUGAAAUCCAGUUGAAAGCCCCAGAUCAGCCCUCAGAUUUGGAAAAUGAAGAGCUGGAAACUUCUCCAACCCAGCUGAAGCAACCAGCUCAGUUUUCAGAGCAUGGUAAAGAAAGAGUGUCAACUCUACAUCACCACAAAGCUAAGCAUCCACACUUGCCCCAUGUGACUGAUAAACCUCUGAAUCUGCAGCUUAUAACCCCAGAACCCACCACAGUGGAGAGAAUCUUCCCAGUGCUCCCUACAGCUGCAGCUCAACCCUCAACUCCAAUGAAUGAUGUGGAACCUUCUACAAGUCAGCAAGAGGCUCCAAGUCUGUUUUCUGAGCCCUCUGAAGGAGCUGAUCACUCACAAUUUCAGCAAGAGUCUCCAGCUAAAUCUUCAGAAUUUGCUCAGUAGGAGACCCAAGUUGGCAAUCUACACACUUUUGAGGAGGGUGAACCAUCUUUGACCACUCAAGAGGCUGCAGCUCAGCCUCCAAAGCUCCCUAAUGAACUCAUACCUCAGCCUCUAGAAGUACAGGAGAAAACAGUCUCUCCUCUAGGUGAUGAGCAAGUUCAGCCUCCAACACUGACCCAUGGUGCUGUUACUCCUGCAGAGUUGUUAUCAAGUGAGGUUGAAAUUGAAAGUUCAACUUCAUAGGAGGCCCCAGCUCAGUCCUCAGUGUCCUUGAGCAGUUUGAACCUCUUGGAGACAAUCAAGAGCUUAGAACUCCACAGUCCCCCAGGAGGAGGAUGCAGCUCCACUUUCUGAGGACCCAAUGAUAUGGAACCUUCUCAAGCUCAGCAGAGACCCCACCUCAGCCUGCAGAGGAGGAAGAACCAUCUCCCGCACAGCCACCAGCCACAUCUCCUCUUCCAGAUCCUCCUGAGGUAGAACUUUCUCCAGCCCAGCCCAUGAUGCUCCCUCAGCUUCCAAGUGAGCCACCCAAUGAGAGUGAAGCUCACCCUCCACCCCAUUCUGAGACAACAGCUCCAACUCCAGCUCAGGGUCAAGCUCAGCAGCCAAGCGUCGCAUUUCGUCCUUUGGACCUGGAAGCCACCAUCAUUCCAG